GUACACGCUGUGACUAGUAUAUCAAUAAGCGGAGGAAAAGAAACUAACAAGGAUUCCCUUAGUAACGGCGAGUGAAGCGGGAAGAGCUCAAAUUUGAAAUCUUCAAGGUUUUAUCUUGACGAAUUGUAGUUUAAAGAAGUGUUUUCUGCUGAAGUUUUGGUAAAAGUUCUUUGGAAUAGGACAUCAUAGAGGGUGAGAAUCCCGUAUUUGACCGUUAUUUCUAGCUUUGUGAUACACUUUCAAAGAGUCGGAUUGUUUGGGAAUGCAGUCCAAAAUGGGUGGUAAAUUUCAUCUAAAGCUAAAUAUUGGCGAGAGACCGAUAGCGAACAAGUACCGUGAGGGAAAGAUGAAAAGAACUUUGAAAAGAGAGUUAAACAGUACGUGAAAUUGUCAAAAGGGAAGCGUUUGACACCAGUGUUGUUUUUCUGAAAAUCAAUUAAAGAACUGUUUAUGCUAAGUUGUUUAGACUUUAUCAGCUAACUGUUUAGUUUUGAGCUUUUCUUUAAUGCACUUUUCAGUUAACAAGUCAACAUCAAUUUCUUUUGCUGUAAAAAAGCUUGAGGAAGGUGGCUUGAGAUUCGUCUUAAGUGUUUAUAGCCUCUUGCCUAUGCAGUCGGAGAGAUUGAGGUCUGCAGCGUAGAUCCUUCGGGGCUAAAUGCAUUUGUGCUAAGUUAUAGCAUUUUAUAGACAACUUGUUGACUAUGAUUAGUCUUGUAGCUUACUCGCUUGCUGCUAUUUUACCUACGCUUAGGAUGUUGAGCGCAUGUCUCUCUCU
rnacentral:rRNA from 1 species